UUAUACAAUUGUAUCGUUUUAUAUUGUGCGCAACGCUCAUCGCGACAGCCAUGAUGUACAUGAUUAUCUUACAUACGAUGCGUGAGUACGUAUACACGUGUGUCAAUCGAGGAGUGCAGAGUGCUCUUUAUUUACAGCAUAUUUAUAUAUAAGGCAAUGAAUAUGUCUUAACAUAUGGGAUCAAUUGUUGUAUCAAAUUCAAAAAACCACCAUUUGAAAAAUUUGACCCUGGCUAAGAUAAACAUCAGUGAACAAUAUAUUAUAAGGAAAACUCUGUACAAGAUACUAGAAAUGCUAAAAGAUGAUCAAGAAGCUUUUACACAAGUCAGGCUAUUAGACAACAAUUCCUUGUAAUACAGAGAAAGACUUGGAACACUUUAUAAUGGAAUGGCUUAGAUUUGCAAACAUCCGUAAA